GCUGGGUGCAGUGGCGCACGCCUGUAAUCCCAAUAGCUCAGGAAGCUGAGGCAGGAGGAUCGUGAGUUCAAAGCCAGUCUCGGUAACUUAGUGAGGCCUUAAGCAACUCAGUGAGACCCUGUCUCUA
rnacentral:sRNA from 1 species